rnacentral:rRNA from 1 species
AUUGAACGCUGGCGGCAUGCCUUACACAUGCAAGUCGAACGGCAGCACGGGAGCAAUCCUGGUGGCGAGUGGCGAACGGGUGAGUAAGGUAUCGGAACGUGCCCAGUCGUGGGGGAUAACGUAGCGAAAGUUACGCUAAUACCGCAUACGAUCUAUGGAUGAAAGCGGGGGAUCGCAAGACCUCGCGCGAUUGGAGCGGCCGAUAUCAGAUUAGGUAGGUGGUGGGGUAAAGGCUCACCAAGCCGACGAUCUGUAGCUGGUCUGAGAGGACGACCAGCCACACUGGGACUGAGACGCGGCCCAGACUCCUACGGGAGGCAGCAGUGGGGAAUUUUGGACAAUGGGCGAAAGCCUGAUCCAGCCAUGCCGCGUGCAGGAUGAAGGCCUUCGGGUUGUAAACUGCUUUUGUACGGAACGAAAAGGUUUGGCCUAAUAAGCUGAGCUCAUGACGGUACCGUAAGAAUAAGCACCGGCUAACUACGUGCCAGCAGCCGCCGUAA